rnacentral:lncRNA from 1 species
GGGUGCUCAGGGCUCCGCUGCCCCAGCUAAGAGGGUAGCAGCUGAAGCCCUCCUCAGCGAUCUCCUGCCUUUCACUGGAGAGGGCACUUGGGGUGACCUGGAUGGAAGCAGAAGUCUGGACCCCAUCAGGAGCUGGACGCGCUUCGUAGACAAGCUCUGGUGGCUCUAGUGAGCCGCCCACCGGGUCCUUGCUUCAGUGGGGAGGAAGCCUCUGCAGUUGUUUGUGCACUUGUGAUUAAACUGAGUCACUUCCAAAGUCCCUCCAUACCCAAAAGAAAGGGAUUUGGGGUUCUCAGAUUCGGGGCAUCUGCUGUGCAAAUGUCCUGACCUCCUAAGACUCUAGAACUUUCCUUGAAGAUUCUGGGCAUCCGUGACAACACCCCUCAGACCUCCCGCACACGCUCCUGCGUCCUCUGGCUGCCCAUGGUCCUCCUGCCCUCUGGUCCCACCCACCCAGCAGUGCCCACCACAUGCCCCCUCUCAAGCUCCACAGGGGGGAGAUCAGAUAUGGGCCGGGUGCAGGGGACAGGCGGGCUCCUGGUUAGGCCAGAUGUGCUGAGUGCCCACCUGUACUUUGAAGGAAAGUACCAAAGCAGGGACAGGUAGCAGCAGCCCACACCCUCCCUUUGGUUGCUGGACAGGCCUCCAGGCUCUGUGGGAUCCUGGCUGCUUGGUCCUUGUCCCUGUCCUGUUCUUCAUUCACCUUCGAUGAGACACACACACCCGUGCCCUCUGCAGCAGGUGGGCAGGAAGGAGCAACCCCGCUUCCUACACCGGCCAGAUCCUCACUCAGCAGAGGCACGACUCAGGCUUCAAGAGGACGCCUGCCCCUCCCAGGGGCGGCACCCAUGCUGCUAACUCACCGCUGUGGUGUCCCACUCCUCU